rnacentral:lncRNA from 1 species
GAACUGAACUGCAGCGGCUGCUUCAGAAGUCUAGCUUGCUCCAGCUCUCAAGAUGGCUUGCAAGUGGUUGCUGCAUCAGGGGGAGUUUUCAGGGGUAAACUAAGACCCAACCUGCCUUGACAACGAGCAACACCAGAGCUGGUACAUCCUCCUAAGACAUCGUCCAUCUUGCAUGAGACAGAUUCUCCAAGCAUAGGAAAAGCAGGCCGCCAGUUAUGGAGCGGGACAAUGGCACCAUCCAGGCUCCAGGCUUGCCGCCCACCACCUGCGUCUACCGUGAGGAUUUCAAGCGACUGCUGCUACCCCCAGUUUACUCAGUGGUGCUGGUGGUCGGCCUGCCACUGAACGUCUGUGUCAUCGCCCAGAUAUGCGCAUCCCGCCGGACCCUGACCCGUUCCGCUGUGUACACCCUGAACUUGGCACUGGCGGACCUGCUGUAUGCCUGUUCACUGCCCCUACUUAUCUAUAACUACGCCAGAGGGGACCACUGGCCCUUCGGAGACCUUGCCUGCCGCCUGGUACGCUUCCUCUUCUAUGCCAACCUACACGGCAGCAUCCUGUUCCUCACCUGCAUUAGCUUCCAGCGAUACCUAGGCAUCUGCCAUCCCCUGGCCCCCUGGCACAAGCGUGGAGGUCGCCGUGCUGCUUGGGUGGUAUGUGGAGUCGUUUGGCUGGUUGUGACAGCCCAGUGCCUGCCCACAGCAGUCUUUGCCGCCACGGGCAUCCAGCGCAACCGCACUGUCUGCUACGACCUGAGCCCACCCAUCCUGUCCACCCGCUACCUGCCGUAUGGCAUGGCCCUCACGGUCAUCGGCUUCUUGCUUCCCUUCACAGCCUUACUGGCCUGCUACUGUCGCAUGGCCCGCCGCCUGUGUCGCCAGGAUGGCCCAGCAGGUCCUGUGGCCCAAGAGCGUCGCAGCAAGGCGGCCCGUAUGGCUGUCGUGGUAGCAGCUGUCUUUGUUAUCAGCUUCCUGCCUUUCCACAUCACCAAGACAGCCUACUUGGCUGUGCGCUCCACGCCCGGCGUCUCUUGCCCGGUACUGGAGACCUUCGCUGCAGCCUACAAAGGCACCCGGCCCUUCGCCAGUGCUAACAGCGUUCUGGACCCUAUCCUCUUCUACUUCACACAACAGAAGUUCCGGCGGCAACCACACGAUCUCCUACAGAAGCUCACAGCCAAGUGGCAGAGGCAGAGAGUCUGAGACCCCAGGGGAGGCCCUGAAGCACUGGCUGCAAUGUGUUUGCCCACUGGGGUCAUGGUGCCUGAAGCUUUCUCCCAAUCGGAAACCAUACCGAGAAGAAGCAAAACUUGGCCCAACAUGCCUGGCCCUCCAAAAUUUCUAUGUCAACCACAAAACUAAGACACCUGUGUUUCGGGGACUGGUCAGUUCAUGCUUGUUAUACCAGAAUUCAGGAUGUCAUGACAGGAUAACAAGCUCUAAGCCAGCCUGGUCUACAUGGUGAAACCCCAUCUCAGACAAUCAAGGGUUGAGCUAGGUCCUGGAAUAGCACUGCAAAUUCUAACAAAGGUCUUCCCGCCUGACCGUUCUUGUGUUUACAAGGUAGAGGGGACCACUGGUACACCAUCACGAACGUGAGGGCAAGGCCCCUCCUGUAGAGGAAGAAGCUGGGAAAGCUCACAUUCCCAUCCAUUUGCCAAGACUUUUGCACAGGAGAGAGAAAUAAAUGUGUUCUUGUGUUUGUUGUUUUGUUUUUGUUAAUUUUUAAGCCAUUGUACGCAUGAGCUUUCAAGCACACACACACACACACACACACACACACACACACACAGCCAAGCCAAAUGAGUCCUUUAGUCAGAUUCCAUCAACGCUAGGUGAAAGCAGGCAACGACUUAACUGGGAUAGGGGACAGGAUGUCUGCUGGAACCUGACGGGAACUAAGAACAAGGGUUGGAAAUACCCAGGAGGCAUCUUAAAGAUGGCUGACCACCUGGGGAGGUCAGCCCUAGGGUAGCUUGAGGCUGAGAGGGAGUAUAUCCAUGUCAUAUAACAGAUGACACAGAUGACAGAACGGGAUACUCCACCUUGGCUUCACGGUGCCUCCUAAUUUUGUAAUGCCGUACACACUUCUGUCACGAAAACUUUGUCCACGAGUCCCAAAGUCAAGUUCAUGACGCCCAUCAAAACUGAUAUCACCAUUACCUGAUUAUCCACUAAAACAAUGGAUCAACACAGUAGAUACACACACAUCUAGAAUUAUUACACCAACAUGAAACACUUCAACUUAGCAGUAUGAUAUUAAGGAACAAGAACUCCUUCCGAAUUAUUUGUAGGCAGUGUCCUUUCUAUGAGGUUAGGAAGAACUAAAGCAGAGAUGCUGGCCCAUGGGGGUAGCCAUAGCAUGUGGAAGGCCAACUCAGGCUCAAUAGUUGGAGGUGAGCCUGGACUGUGGACUUUGUUCAUUGCCUUUAAAAAUAUUUUAAAUUAUAUUUUAUAUACAAUUUU